rnacentral:rRNA from 1 species
UACGGAGGAUGCGAGCGUUAUCCGGAUUUAUUGGGUUUAAAGGGUGCGCAGGUUGUUUGAUAAGUCAGUGGUGAAAGUCUGUCGCUUAACGGUAGGAUUGCCAUUGAUACUGUUGGACUUGAAUAUGGAUGAGGUAGGCGGAAUGUGUAGUGUAGCGGUGAAAUGCAUAGAUAUUACACAGAACACCGAUUGCGAAGGCAGCUUACUAAUCCAUCAUUGACGCUGAGGCACAAAAGCGUGGGGAUCAAACA